rnacentral:misc_RNA from 1 species
GAUGAAGAACGUAGCGAAAUGCGAUAAGUAAUGUGAAUUGCAGAAUUCAGUGAAUCAUCGAAUCUUUGAACGCACAUUGCGCCCGCCAGUAUUCUGGCGGGCAUGCCUGUUCGAGCGUCAUUUCAACCAUCAAGCCCCAGGCUUGUGUUGGAGCCCUGCGGCUGCCGCAGCCUCCCAAAACCAGUGGCGGGCUCGCUAUCACACCGAGUGCAGUAGUUUACUCUUCGCUCAGGGCGUGUGGCGGGUGCUAGCCGUAAAACCCCCAACUUCUCCAGGUUGACCUCGGAUCAGGUAGGAAUACCCGCUGAACUUAAGCAUAUCAAUAAGCGGAGGA